rnacentral:rRNA from 1 species
GCAUAUCAAUAACCGGAGGAAAAGAAACUAACAAGGAUUCCCCUAGUAACGGCGAGUGAACCGGGAUGAGCUCAAAUUUGAAAUCUGGCGUCCUCAGGGCGUCCGAGUUGUAAUCUAUAGAGGCGUUUUCCGUGCCGGACCGUGUCCAAGUCCCUUGGAACAGGGUAUCAAAGAGGGUGACAAUCCCGUACUUGACACGACGACCGGUGCUCUGUGAUACGUCUUCUACGAGUCGAGUUGUUUGGGAAUGCAGCUCAAAAUGGGUGGUGAGUUCCAUCUAAAGCUAAAUAUUGGCGAGAGACCGAUAGCGAACAAGUACCGUGAGGGAAAGAUGAAAAGCACUUUGGAAAGAGAGUUAAACAGUACGUGAAAUUGUUGAAAGGGAAACGAUUGAAGUCAGUCGUGACUGUUGGGCUCAGCAGGUUCUGCCUGUGUAUUCCCUUCAGUCGGGUCAACAUCAGUUUUGACCGGUGGAUAAGGGCAGCAGGAAUGUGGCACCCUCGGGUGUGUUAUAGCCUGUCGUCGCAUACAUCGGUCGAGACUGAGGAACGCAGCUCGCCUUUAUGGCCGGGGUUCGCCCACGUCCGAGCUUAGGAUGUUGACAUAAUGGCUUUAAACG